rnacentral:rRNA from 1 species
UGCGUAGGGUGCGAGCGUUAAUCGGAAUUACUGGGCGUAAAGUGUGCGCAGGCGGCGUUGCAAGUCGAGUGUGAAAUCCCCGGGCUUAACCUGGGAACUGCGUUUGAAACUGGAAGGCUAGAGUGUGGCAGAGGGGGGGUGGAAUUCCACGUGUAGCAGUGAAAUGCGUAGAGAUGUGGAGGAACACCGAUGGCGAAGGCAGCCCCCUGGGCUAACACUGACGCUCAUGCACGAAAGCGUGGGGAGCAAACAGG